GCAGGGGUGGUUCAGUGGUAGAAUUCUCUCCUUCCAUGCAGGAGACCCGGGUUCAAUACCCAGCCAAUGCA
rnacentral:tRNA from 1 species